rnacentral:rRNA from 1 species
AUUCCAGCUCCAAUGGCGUAUAUUUAAGUUGUUGCAGUUAAAAAGCUCGUAGUUGGAUUUCGGGUGGGUACCGCCGGUCUCCCUUUGGGUAUGUACUGGCGUGGCCCGCCUUGCUGUCGGGGACGAUCUCCUGGGCUUAAUUGUCCGGGAACCGGAGUCGACGAUGUUACUUUGAGUAAAUUAGAGUGUUCAAAGCAAGCCUACGCUCUGAAUAUAAUAGCAUGGGAUAACACGACAGGACUCUGGCCUAUCGUGUUGGUCUGUAGGACCAGAGUAAUGAUUAAGAGGGACAGUCGGGGGCAUUCGUAUUCCGUUGUCAGAGGUGAAAUUCUUGGAUUUACGGAAGACGAACAUCUGCGAGAGCAUUUGCCAAGGAUGUUUUCAUCG